UGAGCUGCCCUCUGCCGCUUCUGUGCGCAGCGCCUUAUAUUUCCCGCGCAGUGAUAGAGGAACGGAACGAACCGUAACACUCCACAUAUACUCCCAGAGUCGACAACCCAUUUGACAGAUAGCGUCUGUCAUUAAAUUGAUGCAAAAAAAGCAGCAAAAAUAUUAAAUAAAUCAGUUUACCUUCAUUUGUAAAAUUAAGCCAUUAAAAAAAAAAACGAUGAAAAUACGCUAAAUUUGACGAAAGCAGCUAAACUGCAGAAUCAUAUUAUUUUUAAUUCGGACCAAAAUCUAAAAAUUACCAAUAUACAAAUACAUUAUGGGUGUCUUUGCGGUAUUUUUGUUGCACGAAAAUAACGGACUUAGUUACAAGAAAAGAGGGUGAUUGUUGGUUGAUGGUACCUUAGACGUUUAUGGAGAACGGAAAAUGGAAUUAUUUUGAAAUUUUGGUAUCAUGGAUUUUAGCUGGUGAUUUAACGAUUAAAAAUAUUUUGAUGUUUGACAGUUACAUUUAGUUGAUUAUUAGUAAAUACGCAUGACAAUGAUGAUUUGAG